rnacentral:rRNA from 1 species
CUACGGGUCGCAGCAGUGGGGAAUAUUGCACAAUGGGCGCAAGCCUGAUGCAGCCAUGCCGCGUGUAUGAAGAAGGCCUUCGGGUUGUAAAGUACUUUCAGCGGGGAGGAAGGGAGUAAAGUUAAUACCUUUGCUCAUUGGCGUUACCCGCAGAAGAAGCACCGGCUAACUCCGUGCCAGCAGCCGCGGUAAUACGGAGGGUGCAAGCGUUAAUCGGAAUUACUGGGCGUAAAGCGCACGCAGGCGGUUUGUUAAGUCAGAUGUGAAAUCCCCGGGCUCAACCUGGGAACUGCAUCUGAUACUGGCAAGCUUGAGUCUCGUAGAGGGGGGUAGAAUUCCAGGUGUAGCGGUGAAAUGCGUAGAGAUCUGGAGGAAUACCGGUGGCGAAGGUGGCCCCCUGGACGAAGACUGACGCUCAGGUGCGAAAGCGUGGGGAGCAAACAGGAUUAGAUACCCGUGUAGUC